CUCCAACUCUUUAUCAUUUCACUUUUGUUCUUUACUUGUCAAGUGUGAUUUUGUUUGGCAAUUUGCACAUGGUGAUAUAAUGUAGACACCACUAUUCGUCUACAUAAUAAAGACUCAUGGAUGGUUCUUCGGUUCCGGUAGUUGAGAGCUUAUAGUGUAAA